AUAUUAUCUAAGCUGUUGAACUUUACAGGUAGGGUAAUGGAUAUUAUCUAAGCUGUUGAACUUUACAGGUAGGGUAAUGGAUAUUAUCUAAGCUGUUGAACUUUACAGGUAGGGUAAUGGAUAUUAUCUAAGCUGUUGAACUUUACAGGUAGGGUAAUGGAUAUUAUCUAAGCUGUUGAACUUUACAGGUAGGGUAAUGGAUAUUAUCUAAGCUGUUGAACUUUACAGGUAGGGUAAUGGAGUGAGUACUAUUUCCAGGGUGUCAGACCAUGUGUUUUGUUUUGAAUGAUCC